GGUAAAUACAUUGAGUGAUCAACUUUUGGCUGUGUAGCAACGUGUCGUUCACCUCGUCUGAGAGAGCAGGUGAGGAAUGGGCCAAAGAGGAGCCAGAGGAACAGGAGGACAUAUUGCCAUCUGUGACAGGACCUUGGAUAGAAGAGGAAACUGGAAAAAGGCAUACAAGAGGUCCCCAUCCCAUGGGAAGAUGAGGGCAUCUCCCAGUGAAUGUUUCACCAGGCCAGCCCUGGAGCAGCAACGAGGACAUUUCUUGUUCCAAUGCGGUGGCACUCAGCUGCAGGGACUAGGCUCAGGCUGGCAAUGGGUUUGAAACUCCCAGGCUCCUACUGUGAGACCCUGACACCUUGAUGUCAUAGAAUUGUUUUGUACAAAGUGUGCCUUGCGAGGUGUCAUUCUAAACAUCUUGAUCUGCUGAACAUUAAUAUCUCAAAGGAAGCUUCAAAGGAAGGUUUGAAAGCUAGAAGCCUCUGGUAAGUGGCUGAGCCUUAAUCAGUGGGCGGGGCAUUCAUACAGGCCAAGGCUUUAUAAAGCAGCGCAC